GAAAGUUGGGGGCUCGAAGACGAUCAGAUACCGUCCUAGUCUCAACCAUAAACGAUGCCGACUAGGGAUUGGCGGAUGUUAUUUGGAUGACACCGCCAGCACCUCAUGAGAAAUCAAAGUCUUUGGGU
rnacentral:rRNA from 1 species